rnacentral:rRNA from 1 species
CCUACGGGAGGCAGCAGUGAGGAAUAUUGGUCAAUGGGCGCGAGCCUGAACCAGCCAAGUAGCGUGAAGGAUGACUGCCCUACGGGUUGUAAACUUCUUUUAUAAAGGAAUAAAGUGAGGCACGUGUGCCUUUUUGUAUGUACUUUAUGAAUAAGGAUCGGCAAACUCCGCGCCAGCAGCCGCGGUAAGACGGAGGAUUCGAGCGUUAUCCGGAUGUAUUGGGUUUAAAGGGAGCGUAGAUGGGUUGUUAAGUCAGUUGUGAAAGUUUGCGGCUCAACCGUAAAAUUGCAAUUGAUACUGGCAGUCGUGAGUAUAGUAGAGGUGGGUAGAAUUCGAGGUGUAGCGGGGAAAUGCGUAGAGAUCAGGAGGAAGACCGGUGGCGAAGGCGGCUUACUGAACGGCCACUGACGUUGAGGUGCGAAAGUGUGGGUAGCAAACAGGAUUAGAUACCCCAGUAGUC